rnacentral:misc_RNA from 1 species
GAGGGUCUCACGACCUCCCUAAUACCUUCAACCAACCCGCGUACCUACCCGAGGGGGCCCUAGCGGCCACAAAACAUGAUGCCUCGGUCGGCGGCCCCAGGGGGGGCCUCUGCCCGCGCGCCUUCCGGGGCGCGGGGGUGCCGGCCGGCGGCCCAAUCAAAACUUGAAUGUUAUAAUAAACAAUUUUCCAAACCAAAACCAUUA